rnacentral:rRNA from 1 species
UACAGAGGGGGCAAGCGUUGUUCGGAAUUACUGGGCGUAAAGGGCGCGUAGGCGGCCUUCUAAGUCGAACGUGAAAUCCCUGGGCUCAACCCAGGAACUGCGUCCGAUACUGGAAGGCUUGAAUCCGGGAGAGGGAUGCGGAAUUCCACGUGUAGCGGUGAAAUGCGUAGAGAUGUGGAGGAACACCGAUGGCGAAGGCAGCCUUCUGGGCCAACACUGACGCUCAUGCACGAAAGCGUGGGGAGCAAACAGG